rnacentral:misc_RNA from 1 species
GAUGAAGAACGUAGCGAAAUGCGAUAAGUAAUGUGAAUUGCAGAAUUCAGUGAAUCAUCGAAUCUUUGAACGCACAUUGCGCCCGCCAGUAUUCUGGCGGGCAUGCCUGUCUGAGCGUCAUUUCAACCCUCAUGCCCCUAGGGCGUGGUGUUGGGGAUCGGCCAAAGCCCGCGAGGGACGGCCGGCCCCUAAAUCUAGUGGCGGACCCGUCGUGGCCUCCUCUGCGAAGUAGUGAUAUUCCGCAUCGGAGAGCGAUGAGCCCCUGCCGUUAAACCCCCAACUUUCCAAGGUUGACCUCAGAUCAGGUAGGAAUACCCGCUGAACUUAAGCAUAUCAAUAAGCAGAGGA